GACGAACGCUGGCGGUGUGCUUAACACAUGCAAGUCGAACGGUAAGGCCCUUUCGGGGGUACACGAGUGGCGCACGGGUGAGUAACACGUGAGUAACCUGCCCCCAUCUCUGGGAUAACAGUCGGAAACGGUUGCUAAUACUGGAUAUGAGCUUGCAAGGCAUCUUGUGGGUUGGAAAGAUUUUUUUUGGUUGGGGAUGGACUCGCGGCCUAUCAGCUUGUUGGUGAGGUAGUGGCUCACCAAGGCUUCGACGGGUAGCCGGCCUGAGAGGGCGACCGGCCACAUUGGGACUGAGAUACGGCCCAAACUCCUACGGGAGGCAGCAGUGGGGAAUAUUGCACAAUGGACGGAAGUCUGAUGCAGCAACGCCGCGUGCGGGAUGACGGCCUUCGGGUUGUAAACCGCUUUCAAUUGUGACGAAGCUUUUUUGUGACGGUAGCAGUAGAAGAAGCACCGGCUAACUACGUG
rnacentral:rRNA from 1 species